AUACGACCAUACCUACCAGAAGAUUCAGGAUCCCGUUCGCUCUCCUAUAGAUACGCUACUGAAGGCUGAAGUAGUAGUUGGGUUCGUGACGACCGGUUGAAUUCCCGGUGUUGUAUG